AGGGUUCGAUUCUGGCUCAGGAUGAACGCUGGCGGCGUGCUUAACACAUGCAAGUCGAACGGGAUCCAUCAAGCUUGCUUGGUGGUGAGAGUGGCGAACGGGUGAGUAAUGCGUGACCGACCUGCCCCAUACACCGGAAUAGCUCCUGGAAACGGGUGGUAAUGCCGGAUGCUCCAGUUGAUCGCAUGGUCUUCUGGGAAAGCUUUCGCGGUAUGGGAUGGGGUCGCGUCCUAUCAGCUUGACGGCGGGGUAACGGCCCACCGUGGCUUCGACGGGUAGCCGGCCUGAGAGGGCGACCGGCCACAUUGGGACUGAGAUACGGCCCAGACUCCUACGGGAGGCAGCAGUGGGGAAUAUUGCACAAUGGGCGCAAGCCUGAUGCAGCGACGCCGCGUGAGGGAUGGAGGCCUUCGGGUUGUAAACCUCUUUUAUCGGGGAGCAAGCGUGAGUGAGUUUACCCGUUGAAUAAGCACCGGCUAACUACGUGCCAGCAGCCGCGGUAAUACGUAGGGUGCAAGCGUUAUCCGGAAUUAUUGGGCGUAAAGGGCUCGUAGGCGGUUCGUCGCGUCCGGUGUGAAAGUCCAUCGCUUAACGGUGGAUCCGCGCCGGGUACGGGCGGGCUUGAGUGCGGUAGGGGAGACUGGAAUUCCCGGUGUAACGGUGGAAUGUGUAGAUAUCGGGAAGAACACCAAUGGCGAAGGCAGGUCUCUGGGCCGUUACUGACGCUGAGGAGCGAAAGCGUGGGGAGCGAACAGGAUUAGAUACCCUGGUAGUCCACGCCGUAAACGGUGGAUGCUGGAUGUGGGGCCCGUUCCACGGGUUCCGUGUCGGAGCUAACGCGUUAAGCAUCCCGCCUGGGGAGUACGGCCGCAAGGCUAAAACUCAAAGAAAUUGACGGGGGCCCGCACAAGCGGCGGAGCAUGCGGAUUAAUUCGAUGCAACGCGAAGAACCUUACCUGGGCUUGACAUGUUCCCGACGGUCGUAGAGAUACGGCUUCCCUUCGG
rnacentral:rRNA from 1 species